AAAAUAUAAUAUUAACAUAUUCCUUGGAGAGAGAUUCGAGAGAGCUAUUUGACGCAAGAGAUCAUACCUGGGAGAGAGAGUAUAAAAAAAGGUUCAAUUCUUCAUUAUUCUUGAUGAUUAUUCUUCGUCUUCGUUCCCUAGUCCUCGUUGGAUGUUCCAGACAGGAUGGGACAUGGAAUCACUCUGUUACAUUUUUCCCGUCUUUUAUCCAGAGUCUGAGAGCAGAACCCUGGAGACGUCCAGUCUGUGUGGAGACCUCGGAGCGACUUGAGGACAUGUGUAGUUCAUUUGGUGACUCCUUAGCGACUCCCCGAUUAAUUGUUGUCUUCUUACUAGCAACUUACUUUUCCC
rnacentral:lncRNA from 1 species